GUAUAUAUGUGCAGAGCGCGGCGCGGGUGGUCACCUCCGCUGCUGCCGCCACCCGCCCGGCCUGCCUUUGACCCUAUGGGUCACAGACAAGGCAGGGUGAUCGCGGCAAGACCCUGAGUGAGACUAGAUGCGUUACCCAGAGGGUGCGAGGUCGAGUACCUUCCCUGUCCCAUCGCAAACCCAAAGAUCCCCGUUCCUGGAGAUUCUGAUUGAGCGCGAGUCAUGGCUGGGGCCUUAGUGGCAACAAGUGCUGAGAUCAGCGGGCUCAGUAGCAGGAACACAAGCACCCCCUUGCGGUGUCUGGAGGAAGCGGCGCGGACAGUCUCCCGCUCCACCGUGUCGGGCCUGAAGAGGCCGCUGAACGCUCGCGAUUACUGAGGCAUCUGGUAGGAUCGCAAGGCCAUCAACCUACAGGUGAAGCUCGAGGCGCUGUGGCGCUUUGAAGCCGGAGAGAAGCUCAGUAGAAUCGGGAAGGCGCUGGGGCUGUCCAACUCCACCUUGGCCACCAUUCGUGACAACAAGGAAAAGAUCUGGGCGAGUUCCCAGGAGGCCACACUGCAGGCGGCCACCAAGUUGACGCGUGGCCGCAGCCUGGUGAUGGAGAACAUGGAGCAGCUGCUGAGCAUGCGGAUGGAGGACCAGAGCCAGCGCAACAUGCCCCUCAGUGUGGUGCUCAUUCGGGAGAAAGCCCACAGCCCGUUCGAGAACCGCAAGCAGGAGCAGGGCGAGGGCGCCUAGCCCGAGAGCUUCGGGGCCGGUCGAGGGUGAUUCGCUGGCUUUAAGGCGCGCCACAGCUUGAGCAGCAUCGGGGCCAGCGGCCCAAGAACGCAGCGUGCAAGAAUCCAGCGUUAAUGCGCAGGGUGAUCCCGGAGGGCGGCUACACACUCUGGCUGGUGUUCACCAUGAAUAAGCUCUGGCUGGUGUUCACCAUGAAUAAGCCCAGGUUCCUCUGUAAGCGCCUGCCGAGAGGACGUUCAUUUUCCUGUGGAAGAUGAGUCGGCCCCUGGGUCAAAGCCGCCGGAGACCUCCUGACCCUAUUGCUCGGUGGCAACGCAGCCGGCGACUUCAAG
rnacentral:lncRNA from 1 species